GUAAAUAUAGUUUAUUAAAAACACUAGACUGUGACUCUAGAAACAGAAGCCCUAUCUUCUUAUUUACC
rnacentral:tRNA from 1 species